GACAGACUACACAGUCGUUUAUUUUGUUUCUGUUCCAGCUGCCAAAAAAAAAAUGGUUUUGCUCAUUGUGUUCACAUACUUUGAUCAAACUUUUGAUCUGAAUGACAAAAAACUGAGGUUAAUUAGCUUUGAGACUUAUGUAAAAUAUAACUUAGACUUGCUCUCCUCCGCACUGUCGAGGAGGAAAUACAACGAUAUAGGCUGGUGAGAGAGAGCCCGCAGAACGUGACAUCUCCCUGUGGAAAAGUCUGAGAGGCUUUAAUGAAGAGGUUCCUCUAUGAAAAGUUCACAAACUGCUGGCAAGAAGUCAUAUCACUCCUAGCAGGGACUGUCUUGGACAAGAAAAGGAGAUUAAUUUAGGGAUAUGUUUUUCAGAAUACGAUCCAUUCCUUAUGGAGAGAGCGGAAUGAACAGCAACAUGGUGAGACACCCUCCCCGGCUUUGAAGCUUAAAACUCAUUGACAAGAAUAUCCGUAAUCGUUUAAGCACAAUUACGAAUGAUGGUGGCUCUAGCAUCCAACUUUGGUUUGAAGCAAGAUUCUACUAAUAUGUAACACUUUCUUUUGCUUUGAUAUGAUUUGAAAAGAGUCUCUAUCCAAGCUU